UAAAAUAAAUCGGCGGAGCCUUCAUCUUUGGUAUCUUGUUUUCUCUUUUUUUGGCUUUUUGUAUAUCUGUGUUUUAGGAAAAAAGAAUCAGUG
rnacentral:misc_RNA from 1 species